CCUACGGGAGGCAGCAGUCGGGGAAUAUUGCACAAUGGGCGCAAGCCUGAUGCAGCCAUGCCGCGUGUAUGAAGAAGGCCUUCGGGUUGUAAAGUACUUUCAGCAGUGAGGAAGGUGGAUAUGUUAAUAGCAUAUUCAUUUGACGUUAGCUGCAGAAGAAGCACCGGCUAACUCCGUGCCAGCAGCCGCGGUAAUACGGAGGGUGCGAGCGUUAAUCGGAAUUACUGGGCGUAAAGCGCAUGCAGGUGGUUUGUUAAGUCAGAUGUGAAAGCCCGGGGCUCAACCUCGGAAUUGCAUUUGAAACUGGCAAACUAGAGUACUGUAGAGGGGGUAGAAUUUCAGGUGUAGCGGUGAGAUGCGUAGAGAUCUGAAGGAAUACCGGUGGCGAAGGCGGCCCCCUGGACAGAUACUGACACUCAGAUGCGAAAGCGUGGGGAGCAAACAGGAUUAGAUACCCUGGUAG
rnacentral:rRNA from 1 species